GGGGGAUAAGCUUCAUUGUCAAGAGGGAAACAGCCCAGAUCACCAGUUAAGGCCCCUAAAUAAUUGCUAAGUGGCAAAGGAUGUAAAUAGACGUAGACAACCAGGAGGUUUGCUUAGAAGCAGCCAUUUUCCUUUAAAAAGUGCGUAAUAGCUUACUGGUCAAGUCUGUUUGCGCCGAUAAUGUACGGGACUAAGUAAUUUGCCGAAACUGUGAGUUUUACGGUAGGAGAGCGUUCUGUUUUGUUUGAAGUAAGGGUGUGAGCCUUUAUGGACUUUGCAGAAGUGAGAAUGUCGGCUUAAGUAACGAAAACAUUGGUGAGAAUCCAGUGCUCCGAAAACCGAAGGGUUCCUUUGCAAGGUUCGUCCACAAAGGGUUAGUCAGGACCUAAGAUGAGGUUUAAUAACGUAGUCGAUGGUUAACAGGUUAAUAUUCCUGUACUGUACCUGGUUUGGUUAAGGGUGACGAAAAAGAUUGAGGUUAGCCAACUGAUGGUGAUUGGUUUAAAUCCUUAAGAUGUUGAGAGGCAUUAUAAAAAGAUGUUUUGAGUUGAGAGGAUGAAUACUUUGGUACUAUGGUACUGAAGUAACCUGAUUCAUGUUUCCUAGAAAAACCCUUGUAAUUUCAUUAACCAGAAUACACCUGUACCGUAAACUGACACAGGUCGGUGGGUAGAAUAUACUAAGGAGCUCGAGAUAACUCUUUUUAAGGAACUCGGCAAAAUGACCUUGUAACUUCGGGAGAAAAGGUGCCUUAAUUUUUUAAGGUUGCAGUGAUUAGACCCAGGCGACUGUUUAUCAAAAACACAGGUCUCCGCAAAGUCGAAAGACGAUGUAUGGGGGCUGACGCCUGCCCAGUGCCGGAAGGUGAAGGAAACUUGUUAGCGUUUGCGAAGCUCGUGACUUAAGCCCCGGUGAACGGCGGCAGUAACUAUAACUGUCCUAAGGUAGCGAAAUUCCUUGUCGGGUAAGUUCCGACCUGCACGAAAAGGCGUAACGAUCUGGGUACUGUCUCAAAAAGAGACUCGGUGAAAUAGAACUAACUGUGAAGAUGCGGUUAACUUACACUUGGACAGAAAGACCCUAUGAAGCUUUACUGUAGUCUGAAAUUGAUUUUCGACUUUUUUUGCGCAGUAUAGGUGGGAGGCAUUGAUCUAUCUUUUUCGGGAGUUAGGGAGCCAAAAGUGAGAUACCACUCUAAAAAAGUUAAAAGUCUAAUAACAUUUCAUUAUUUGGAUGUUUGACCCUUUCAGACGGGCAGUUUUACUGGGGCGGUAGCCUCCUAAAAAGUAACGGAGGCGUACAAAGGUUUUCUCAAACUGGUCGGAAAUUAGUUUUGGAGUGCAAAGACAAAAGAAAGCUUAACUGUUAGACUCAUAAGUCAAGCAGUGACGAAAGUCGGUCUUAGUGAUCCGACGUUGCUGUGUGGAAAGGACGUCGCUCAACAGAUAAAAGUUACUCUAGGGAUAACAGGCUGAUCUCCCCCAAGAGUUCACAUCGACGGGGAGGUUUGGCACCUCGAUGUCGGCUCAUCGCAACCUGGAGCGGUAGUACGUUCCAAGGGUUGGGCUGUUCGCCCAUGAAAGCGGUACGUGAGCUGGGUUCAGAACGUCGAGAGACAGUUCGGUCCAUAUCCGGUGUGAGCGUUGGAGUAUUGAAAGGAACUUUUUCUAGUACGAGAGGACCGAAAAGGACACGCCAAUGGUGUGCCAGUUCUUAUGCCAAUAGGAAAUGCUGGGUAGCUAUGCGUGGAGUGGAUAACUGCUGAAAAGCAUAAAU
rnacentral:rRNA from 1 species